GGCGAACGGGUGAGUAACGCGUGAGUAACCUGCCUUACACAAGGGGAUAGCCUCUGGAAACGGAGAAUAAUACCCUAUGAAACCAGACAAUCGCAUGAUAAUCUGGUCAAAAUGUUUAGUGGUGUAAGAUGGACUUGCGUCUGAUUAGCUAGUUGGUGAGAUAACAGCUCACCAAGGCAACGAUCAGUAGCCGGCUUGAGAGAGUGUACGGCCACAUUGGGACUGAGACACGGCCCAGACUCCUACGGGAGGCAGCAGUAGGGAAUUUUGCACAAUGGGGGAAACCCUGAUGCAGCGACGCCGCGUGAUUUAGAAGGCCUUCGGGUUGUAAAAAUCUUUUGUAUAGGAAGAAAAUGACAGUACUAUACGAAUAAGGUCCGGCUAAUUACGUGCCAGCAGCCGCGGUAAUACGUAAGGACCGAGCGUUGUCCGGAAUCAUUGGGCGUAAAGGGUACGUAGGCGGGUUUUUAAGUUAGAAGUCAAAGGCUAUAGCUCAACUAUAGUAAGCUUCUAAAACUGGGGACCUUGAGUAAUGGAAGGGAAAGUGGAAUUCCUAGUGUAGCGGUGGAAUGCGCAGAUAUUAGGAGGAAUACCGGUGGCGAAGGCGACUUUCUGGCCAUUAACUGACGCUGAGGUACGAAAGCGUGGGUAGCAAACAGGAUUAG
rnacentral:rRNA from 1 species